rnacentral:rRNA from 1 species
UACGAGUGCCCCAAGCGUUAUCCGGAAUUAUUGGGCGUAAAGGGUGUGUAGGCGGUUUUGUUAGUCUAAUGUUAAAGCUUCGGGCUCAACCCGAAAAGUGCAUUGGAAACGGCAAAUCUAGAGGAUGCGAGAGGUGAACAGAACUCAUAGUGUAGGGGUAAAAUCCGUUGAUAUUAUGGGGAAUACCAAAUGCGAAGGCAGUUCACUGGCGCACUCCUGACGCUGAAACACGAAAGCGUGGGUAGCGAAUGGG